rnacentral:rRNA from 1 species
CCUACGGGAGGCAGCAGUGAGGAAUAUUGGUCAAUGGGCGCGAGCCUGAACCAGCCAAGUAGCGUGAAGGAUGACUGCCCUACGGGUUGUAAACUUCUUUUAUAAAGGAAUAAAGUUAGGCACGUGUGCCUUUUUGUAUGUACUUUAUGAAUAAGGAUCGGCUAACUCCGUGCCAGCAGCCGCGGUAAUACGGAGGAUCCGAGCGUUAUCCGGAUUUAUUGGGUUUAAAGGGUGCGUAGAUGGGUUGUUAAGUCAGUUGUGAAAGUUUGCGGCUCAACCGUAAAAUUGCAAUUGAUACUGGAAGUCUUGAGUACAUUUGAGGUAGGCGGAAUUCAUGGUGUAGCGGUGAAAUGCUUAGAUAUCACGAAGAACUCCGAUUGCGAAGGCAGCUUACUAAACUGCCACUGACAUUGAUGCUCGAAAGUGUGGGGAUCAAACGGGAUUAGAUACCCGAGUAGUC